UACGUAGGGGGCAAGCGUUGUCCGGAUUUACUAGGCGUAAAGAGCGUGUAGGCGGCCAGGCAGGUCUGUUGUGAAAACUGGAGGCUCAACUUCCAGACGUCGACAGAAACCGCUUGGCUAGAGUCCGGAAGAGGAGAGUGGAAUUCCUGGUGUAGCGGUGAAAUGCGCAGAUAUCAGGAAGAACACCGAUGGCGAAGGCAGCUCUCUGGGACGGUACUGACGCUGAGACGCGAAAGCGUGGGGAGCGAACAGG
rnacentral:rRNA from 1 species